GGUUGUAUGGUCUAGUGGUUAGGACAUGACGUUGUGGUUACUCUCCAAAUCCGUCAUAACCCGCGUUCGAUUCGCGGUACAACCA